AAAUCAGUUAUAAUCUGCUCGAUUGUUAAGGUUAUUGGAUAACCGUGGGAAAUCUAGAGCUAAUACAUGCACCUACUGGAUUGCACUUGUGUAGUCCGUUGCAUUUAUUAGAAAAGUACCAACCGUGUGAGCAAUCGCAUGUGGUGAAUCUAGAUAACUGUGCAGAUCGUACAGCUUUGCUGACGACAUUUCGAUUGAGUUUCUGCUCUAUCAACUUUGGGAGUCUAAGGGACUCCCAUGGUGAUAACGGAUAACGGGGGAUCAGGGUUCGAUUCCGGAGAGGGAGCCUGAGAAACGGCUACCACAUCCAAGGAAGGCAGCAGGCGCGCAAAUUACCCAAUCCAGACAAUGGGAGGUGGUGACGAAAAGUACCGAAUGGCAGCCUAUGGUUGUCAGUUUGGAAUGAAAACAAUUUAAGCAAUUGAAUCGAGAAACGACUGGAGGGCAAGUCUGGUGCCAGCAGCCGCGGUAAUUCCAGCUCCAGUGGCGUAUCUCAAAGUUGCUGCGCUUAAAACGCUCGUAGUUGGAUCACGCACUGUUUGAUGGUGGACCGAGCAGGGGCACAUAACGCUCGUCGCAACCAGGUGGUAUGUUCUCAUGCCACGCUGGGGGACGGGAGUGCUCAUGCGCGGUUGUUAGCCAACAGACAGUAAUUGCACGUGGGGAUGGUCGUUGGUCUUGAGUGAAUCGACGUCCGUGUCCCACGGGGUGUGCCUUGAGUAAAUCAGAGUGCUUAAAGCAGGCGUAAGCUUGAAUGUUGAUAGCAUGGAACGAACAAUCGUGUAUGGUGUGUGCUGAGUUCGAGAAGAUGACUUGUCAUUGACUCGCAGCGCACGACACCGACCGCCAAUUACGGAUGUUGGUUCCGUAUUGGGGUACCGAUUAAGAGGAGCGGUUGGGGGCAUUGGUAUUUGGCAGCGAGAGGUGAAAUUCUUGGACCUGCCAAGGACUAACAAAUGCGAAGGCAUCUGUCCAGACCGUAUCCAUUAAUCAAGAACGAUAGUGAGAGGUUCGAAGACGAUCAGAUACCGUCCUAGUUCUCACUGUAAACGAUGCCGACCCGGGAUCAGUUUGGAGCAACGUUCCACGCUCGAGGUUGGUCCCCCUGGGAAACUUAAAGUCUUUCGGUUGCGGGGGGAGUAUGGUCGCAAGGCUGAAACUUAAAGGAAUUGACGGAAGGGCACCACCAGGGGUGGAGCCUGCGGCUUAAUUUGACUCAACACGGGAAAACUUACCUGGUCCGGACAUCAAAAGGAUAAACAGACUAAACGCUCUUUUUUGAUAUGGUGAUUGGUGGUGCAUGGCCGUUCUUAGUUCGUGGAGUGAUCUGUCAGGCCAAUUCCGGUAACGAACGAGACCAUAAUCUCCACUUGAAGGGCCUCAGAAGGGCCCGAUUUGGUAGUUUUCUGGCAACAGAAAGUUACUUUACCGGACCUGCUGGCUGGGAAGAGGGCGGUGGCUUGUAACCGGCGAAGCGGCAACGUGGAACCGGCGCAGAGUCAUUAGUUCGAUUCCCUCCCUGAGGCAGUACAAUACGCGGCCUUCUCGGCUAGUGUAUUGCAUCGUGGAGAGACAACGGAACAUAUAACAAAAUCCGAGGAAGUGUGGCUAUAACAGGUCUGUGAUGCCCUUAGAUGUUCAGGGCUGCACGCGCGCUACAAUGGCGGCGACAACGAGUUUCUGGAUCGAAAGAUUCGGGUAACCUUACAAUCGCCGCCGUGAUGGGAAUUGACGUUUGUAAAUACGUCAUGAAAGAGGAAUCCCUAGUACGUGUGAUUCAUCAAAUCGCGCGGAUUUAGUCCCUGCCCUUUGUACACACCGCCCGUCGCUACUACCGAGUGAAUGGUGUCAUAAU
rnacentral:rRNA from 1 species